rnacentral:rRNA from 1 species
GAGUUUGAUCAUGGCUCAGGACGAACGCUGGCGGCGUGCCUAACACAUGCAAGUCGCACGGGGUAGCAAUACCCAGUGGCGAACGGGUGCGUAACACGUGAGGAACAUACCUAUCGGCGGGGGAUAGCCGGCCCAACGGCCGGGUAAUACCGCGUACGCUCUCUGGGGGGCAUCUCCUGGGGAGGAAAGCAGCAAUGCACCGAUAGAGUGCCUCGCGGCCUAUCAGCUAGUUGGUGAGGUAACGGCUCACCAAGGCGACGACGGGUAGCUGGUCUGAGAGGAUGAUCAGCCACAUUGGGACUGAGACACGGCCCAGACUCCUACGGGAGGCAGCAGUGGGGAAUCUUGCGCAAUGGGCGAAAGCCUGACGCAGCGACGCCGCGUGUGGGAUGAAGGCCUUC